GAUGAACGCUGGCGGCGUGCCUAAUACAUGCAAGUCGAGCGAACGGACGAGAAGCUUGCUUCUCUGAUGUUAGCGGCGGACGGGUGAGUAACACGUGGAUAACCUACCUAUAAGACUGGGAUAACUUCGGGAAACCGGAGCUAAUACCGGAUCAUAUUUUGAACCGCAUGGUUCAAAAGUGAAAGACGGUCUUGCUGUCACUUAUAGAUGGAUCCGCGCUGCAUUAGCUAGUUGGUAAGGUAACGGCUUACCAAGGCAACGGUGCAUAGCCGACCUGAGAGGGUGAUCGGUCACACUGGAACUGAGACACGGUCCAGACUCCUACGGGAGGCAGCAGUAGGGAAUCUUCCGCAAUGGGCGAAAGCCUGACGGAGCAACGCCGCGUGAGUGAUGAAGGUCUGCGGAUCGUAAAACUCUGUUAUUAGGGAAGAACAUAUGUGUAAGUAACUGUGCACAUCUUGACGGUACCUAAUCAGAAAGCCACGGCUAACUACGUG
rnacentral:rRNA from 1 species